rnacentral:rRNA from 1 species
CCUACGGGGGGCUGCAGUAAGGAAUAUUGGUCAAUGGACGCAAGUCUGAACCAGCCAUGCCGCGUGGAGGAUGAAGGUCCUCUGGAUUGUAAACUUCUUUUAUUUGGGAAGAAACUCCCGAUUUCCAUCGGGAUUGACGGUACCAGCUGAAUAAGCACCGGCUAACUCCGUGCCAGCAGCCGCGGUAAUACGGAGGGUGCAAGCUUUAUCGGGAUGCACUGGUGCUUAGGGGUGCAUGGAUGGGCGGGGUGAAAUCUCCGGGCUUAACCCGGAAACGGCCAUUGAUACUAUUGGUCUUGAAUACUCUGGAGGUGAGCGGAAUAUGUCAUGUAGCGGUGAAAUGCUUAGAUAUGACAUAGAACACCCAUUGCGAAGGCAGCUCACUACGGAAAUAUUGACGCUGAGGCACGAAAGCGUGGGGAUCAAACAGGAUUAGAUACCCCAGUAGUC